ACUUUCAAACUGCUGGAGCACAAGGAGCUGGUCCAGAGCUUCUGAGGAAGGAGGUGAACUGAACCCUGACCAGGUGAUGGGACAUCACAGGGAGUGGCAGCAGCAGAUGGCACGAGGCAUCAAACCCUUGUAGGAAGCAGCUGCCUUACGGUGUGGCAUGAGAGAGCUUGGAGCAUUUGGCUUGAGUCAGUAAUUUGCAUGACCAAGGACAGAGAGAACCUGUCAGAGUCCAUGUGAAGCAUCUAAGGAAAGGCCUAUGGGGAUCACUUUGUGUGCAGAGCUGUGAUUUCUCACAAGCAGAUCAGAGAGUGUCUGUUCCAGUUGGUGAGAAGAAAGUGAAAAGAGGAGUGAUGGCCAGAAAGAGAAGAGUCGAUACACAAUGGCAUCAAGACCUUAUUGUGAUAACCCUUAGAGGUCCACUUAAGGAUGCAAGAAUCCCAAGUCUUGGUAGAUGGCUACAGAACUGAGACAGAAAGACUGUGGAGAGGCCCGGGAUCAACAAGACAAGUCUGCAAUGGGGAGCAGUACUGGAAGGAUGACAUCUGCAAGAGAUGCUGAGGCUAGACUGCUGCAAGAGAGCCAGGCUAGACCAAUGCAAGAGAGUCAGUGACAAACGACAGACUGGCAGUACAGGAGAAUAAUAUGGAACCCACUGCAUUGUGAAGAAAAAGAACUAGACAAGAAAGUGGUAAGAGGAGAUCACUGCCGGCCUUUGGGAACACUCCCCUGUGGGGAAAAAUGGUGGAACUCACAACUCAAAGAGGGGAUGUGUGAGAUUCCGCUCAGUUCUCUCACCUGAAUAAGCCUGGGGUAAGUGGUACCAUCAGGGGUCUCAUCUUCUGUGUCUCUGAGUCCCAACCUACGGUGAGAAUGGAUUAGACAGUCCAACCCAAUGAACUUUCAAAAGGGCUGUGAUUAGCUUCAGAAGGCUCCAACUGUGAAAAGCAGCCAAUAUAAUAAGCUCACACGUCAAGACUGAUUACCCCCAUUACUGUGCCUGCAUAUUUCUGCCUUCUAAUACCCACAGCAGAGUGGGACGGAGACUCAGGCAAGCAUCUUCAGGAUGCUAUUAUUAAGCUCAUCUUCCAGGCCUUGCCCAUUUUGCAUCCUGAGAAGCCAUCAAACCCUUUGAACUUAGCAUUUUCAUUAGAAGCCAUCAAUUUAAAAUAACGAUACAGUGAAUUUUGGGGCUGCCUUUUACCUAAGGACUUGGAAAUACAUUACUACUUAUUGCUGCCAAUUCUCAGCAUUCAGUAGAUGAUAUUCCAUUAAUUUUCUAGAUUGUUAAGCUAAAGGAUCUGACGGUGAAAAGUAACAAUCAGCCACAAAGCCAGGGAAAUCAGUUAGCCAACUGGGGGUGGAGCCUUUGAGGUAGGUAACUAGACCCGAGUAUUGUGUCAAGACCUAGUCGCAGAAUGAGCAAGCAACAAAUGCAGCUUCCUGACUGUUUACAGAGGACACUGGUCAUGUGGGGGGCUCCCUGGCAUCCUUUUAGAUCCGCUCGCUCUCCUUGGAGAGUUGAAUUUCCCAGGAUCCCUUGCAGCUUCAUCAUACUGCAGUGCCAGGACCAGCAAGCCUAACAGCUACUGCAGAUAUUGCAGCAGAUUAUAGAAUCGAGUUCAUGGUAGUGACAUCAGCGGUGAUUUUUAUGAUCUCUCCCAUUUAUUAA